rnacentral:lncRNA from 1 species
GGGACACGACAUGCACUGAGGUGACAGUUUUCCAGAGACUUGCCAGUUCCCACCAUGCUGAUGCACCUCCUUCGGUUUGCUUUCAGGCAGUCCUUUGUGAUGUCGCAGUGAUAAAUAAGCUUCAGUUAGAAGCUAAGCAAAGCUGAGCAAGCCUCAAAGGCACGCGGUGACACCUGCGUCACCCUUUGGCUUGUGCCUGCAUGGGAUGUGAUUUUGUAUUUUCUUCAGUCCUCCUGCAGGUUGUCUUGUAGUAAACUGAGAAAGGAGCAGAAAGAAAGCAUCACUCGCUGCUGGGCAGCAGCUUUCUCUAUCAUCAGCCUUGCUGGCCUUCCACCUCUGCGUGGGCUUCAUUUAGCAGGAACAAAAAUCACCCCCUGGUUUGUAGGAAUGCUUUGUCUGGAGAGUAAUGGUCCUCUCUGCCAUGCAUGGCUACAGCUCUACCUCUUCUCGACAAGGCUGGGAAUGAAGAACCAUUGAACCAGUGGUCAUUUCAUCAAGGCAUUCAAGGGAGCAUUGGUUCUCCCAAAGAAACCCUUCUCUAGCCAAGCUGACUCAGUGACAUUGCUGAUUCUGAUGUUGCCAGGCUGGAUCUGCUGCCUGUGCUGCUCAGGCCUCCUUAAUGUAAAAUAUUCAUGAGUGCUUCUUCUAGCUGAUCUACAUUUUGAGGGGUUUCAUUCCCCGGUCCAGCCUGCUCUGCAAUCAUGAUAUUGACUUACAAGCCAUGAGAUUUAGAAGGUAAUAUAAACUUUUUUUUUUUUCCUUCUAGGAUUUGAGUAUUCAGAGUGCAUACAUUCAGGCUUUCUUCUGAGCCUUUAGGGAGGCAAAGCAAAUGGUGAAACUCCUCUAAAGCCACACCUGCUGCAGCUCCACAAAUGGCACUUGCUAGAGGGAGAUGGAGCAAAAUCAUGGCAGUUCCCUUUUAAAUCUAUGCUAAAAUAACUUGGUUUUGUAGUAGGAUGCUGCUAACUGGGCAACACUGGCUCACAACGUUUCUGAUGGUGUUUCUCCUUUGGUUUCUGCAAUGCUGGGAUAUCUGUGUGUCAGCCUGGAGACUGAUGCCAGAAGAACUGAUUUAAUUCUUGGUUUGGCCUCAGCAGCCCCUGUGUGGAUUGCAUAAGACACUUUGCUUUUCUGUAAUUAUAAUCUGGUCCUGAGGACAGAAGGCUUUGCCAUCACCUCAGCUAUGGGCCUGCCUCAGCCACGUGCUGCUGCAGCAAGACCUGGAAGUGGCAUAAAACACACAUAGUUUCUUCUGGAAGGAAUUAAAAGUGGCUCUUUUAUAUUGGUGGAUGUCACACAUCAACUGGCUUGUAAAUAUAACUUCAACUCCUAAAAAAGGCGAUUAUCACCUUUAUACUUCCUUAAUAGCAUCAUUUUAAAGUGAGUUACUGACAUCAUAUAUUACCUUCUUCCCCUAACAUAAAUGGUCUCCUCUUGCUGUAUUUUAUUACAUAUUGUAAAUUCAUUCGAGCAGUAU